rfam:Salmo salar isolate Sally breed double haploid chromosome ssa11, whole genome shotgun sequence.
UUGGCUUCUCUGCCUUUUGGCUAAGAUCAAGUGUAGUAUCUCUUUAAAAAUCUGUUUCUGACAUUUUAAUAUCUGAAAGGUCCCCUAUCUGGGGACCAUAUAUGAAAUUAUUUUUUGGAACGGCGAGAUGGAAUAGGGGCUUGAACUUGUAUUGUGAUUGUAUUGCAGUAUCUCCAGGAAGGAUGCACCUCUC